UACGAAGGGGGCUAGCGUUGUUCGGAAUUACUGGGCGUAAAGCGCACGUAGGCGGAUCUAUAAGUCAGGGGUGAAAUCCCGGGGCUCAACCUCGGAACUGCCUUUGAUACUGUAGAUCUCGAGUCCGAUAGAGGUGAGUGGAAUUCCUAGUGUAGAGGUGAAAUUCGUAGAUAUUAGGAAGAACACCAGUGGCGAGGGCGGCUCACUGGAUCGGUACUGACGCUGAGGUGCGAAAGCGUGGGGAGCAAACAGG
rnacentral:rRNA from 1 species